rnacentral:rRNA from 1 species
UACGUAGGGGGCAAGCGUUGUUCGGAAUUACUGGGCGUAAAGGGCGCGUAGGCGGCACGGCAAGUCGGGAGUGAAAGCCCGGGGCUCAACCCCGGAGGGUCUUCCGAAACUGCCGAGCUAGAGUGCGGAAGAGGCAACCGGAAUUCCCAGUGUAGCGGUGAAAUGCGUAGAUAUUGGGAAGAACACCAGAGGCGAAGGCGGGUUGCUGGGCCGACACUGACGCUGAGGCGCGAAAGCAUGGGGAGCGAACAGG